rfam:Myotis davidii contig4838, whole genome shotgun sequence.
GGUGGUUCUUGGGUGAUGCACCCCAGAAUCAGGCUCCCUCCUCUUUGGUUCUGGGUGCAUCUCUCUAGAUUACA